UACGGAGGGUGCGAGCGUUGUCCGGAAUCACUGGGCGUAAAGGGCGCGUAGGUGGCCUGUGCAAGCGUGCGGUGAAAGCUCGGGGCUCAACCCCGAGUCGGCCGUGCGAACUGCUGGGCUCGAGCACUGUAGAGGCAGGCGGAAUUCCGGGUGUAGCGGUGGAAUGCGUAGAGAUCCGGAAGAACACCGGUGGCGAAGGCGGCCUGCUGGGCAGUGGCUGACACUGAGGCGCGACAGCGUGGGGAGCAAACAGG
rnacentral:rRNA from 1 species